rnacentral:rRNA from 1 species
CCUACGGGUGGCAGCAGUCGAGAAUCAUUCACAAUGGGGGAAACCCUGAUGGUGCGACGCCGCGUGGGGGAAUGAAGGUCUUCGGAUUGUAAACCCCUGUCAUGUGGGAGCAAAUUAAAAAGAUAGUACCACAAGAGGAAGAGACGGCUAACUCUGUGCCAGCAGCCGCGGUAAUACAGAGGUCUCAAGCAUUGUUCGGAAUCACUGGGCGUAAGGCGUGCGUAGGCUGUUUCGUAAGUCGUGUGUGAAAGGCGCGGGCUCAACCCGCGGACGGCACAUGAUACUGCGAGACUAGAGUAAUGGAGGGGGAACCGGAAUUCUCGGUGUAGCAGUGAAAUGCGUAGAUAUCGAGAGGAACACUCGUGGCGAAGGCGGGUUCCUGGACAUUAACUGACGCUGAGGCACGAAGGCCAGGGGAGCGAAAGGGAUUAGAUACCCGAGUAGUC